rnacentral:rRNA from 1 species
GACGAACGCUGGCGGCGUGCCUAAUACAUGCAAGUCGAGCGGACGGAUGGGAGCUUGCUCCCAGACCGUCAGCGGCGGACGGGUGAGUAACACGUGGGCAACCUGCCUGUAAGACUGGGAUAACUCCGGGAAACCGGGGCUAAUACCGGAUAACUCUUUCCCUCACAUGAGGGAAAGCUGAAAGAUGGCAUCUCGCUAUCACUUACAGAUGGGCCCGCGGCGCAUUAGCUAGUUGGUGAGGUAACGGCUCACCAAGGCGACGAUGCGUAGCCGACCUGAGAGGGUGAUCGGCCACACUGGGACUGAGACACGGACCAGACUCCGACGGGAGGCAGCAGGAGAUAAUCUUCCGCAAUGGACGAAGGUCUGACGGAGCAGCGCCGCGUGAGUGAUGAAGGUUGUCGGAUCGUAAAACUCUGUUGUCAGGGAAGAACAAGUACCGGAGCAACUGCCGGUACCUUGACGGUACCUGACCAGAAAGCCACGGCUAACUAC